rnacentral:tRNA from 1 species
CCGAAAUCGGUAGACGCUACGGACUUAAAAUCCGUCGACUUUAGAAAUCGUGAGGGUUCAAGUCC